rnacentral:rRNA from 1 species
GUGCCUAAUACAUGCAAGUCGAGCGAACAGACGAGGAGCUUGCUCCUCUGACGUUAGCGGCGGACGGGUGAGUAACACGUGGAUAACCUACCUAUAAGACUGGGAUAACUUCGGGAAACCGGAGCUAAUACCGGAUAAUAUAUUGAACCGCAUGGUUCAAUAGUGAAAGACGGUUUUGCUGUCACUUAUAGAUGGAUCCGCGCCGCAUUAGCUAGUUGGUAAGGUAACGGCUUACCAAGGCAACGAUGCGUAGCCGACCUGAGAGGGUGAUCGGCCACACUGGAACUGAGACACGGUCCAGACUCCUACGGGAGGCAGCAGUAGGGAAUCUUCCGCAAUGGGCGAAAGCCUGACGGAGCAACGCCGCGUGAGUGAUGAAGGUCUUCGGAUCGUAAAACUCUGUUAUUAGGGAAGAAUAAAUGUGUAAGUAACUAUGCACGUCUUGACGGUACCUAAUCAGAAAGCCACGGCUAACUACGUGCCAGCAGCCGCGGUAAUACGUAGGUGGCAAGCGUUAUCCGGAAUUAUUGGGCGUAAAGCGCGCGUAGGCGGUUUUUUAAGUCUGAUGUGAAAGCCCACGGCUCAACCGUGGAGGGUCAUUGGAACUGGAAAACUUGAGUGCAGAAGAGGAAAGUGGAAUUCCAUGUGUAGCGGUGAAAUGCGCAGAGAUAUGGAGGAACACCAGUGGCGAAGGCGACUUUCUGGU